GCCUGGUCACCGCUCAAUCGGAACUCCUCGCGGAGUCCCGAACCGGGAACCCACGAUUCCACCGGGGUGAAUCCCGACGGAACGGCACGGAACCACUGCGCCACGCGCACAGCGGAUCCGGUCGGACCGAAGGGUAGGGCUGAUCUUCCCAGCCCGAACCCGUCAGCUAACCCGGUCGGCGGACGACAGGAAGAAA
rnacentral:sRNA from 2 species